rnacentral:misc_RNA from 1 species
GGGCUCAGUGGGCCCUUCUCAAAGGGAUAAUUUAUAGUAACUUUCUGCUCAAAAAAGUACUUGAGGGUGAGAUUGAGUCCACGGACCAAUUCAGUCAAAAAUAAAGUAUUGAUACUCCGUUCAAAAAUAGAACUCCAGUCUUUGCCCAUCUCCUUGGCAAGUUUCUCUCUCUCCUCAUCCUCUUUUGCUGUUGAGAAACGAUGUGAAUUGAGUCCUUGUAAGUGAUUAUUGAAACCUUGUGCAACUUGUCCUGCUCGAACCGAGGGCUUGGAUCGGAGAGCUUGGAUGGUUUGUCGAGCUAUGAACCCCGCCAUCGCGAGAGCAGAGGCGGCAGUGAGAGCAGGUGGAUUCGACGGCGAAG